rnacentral:rRNA from 1 species
UAGGGAAUCUUCCGCAAUGGACGAAAGUCUGACGGAGCAACGCCGCGUGAGUGAAGAAGGUUUUCGGAUCGUAAAACUCUGUUGUUAGGGAAGAACAAGUGCCGUUCGAAUAGGGCGGCACCUUGACGGUACCUAACCAGAAAGCCACGGCUAACUACGUGCCAGCAGCCGCGGUAAUACGUAGGUGGCAAGCGUUGUCCGGAAUUAUUGGGCGUAAAGCGCGCGCAGGUGGUUUCUUAAGUCUGAUGUGAAAGCCCACGGCUCAACCGUGGAGGGUCAUUGGAAACUGGGGAACUUGAGUGCAGAAGAGGAAAGUGGAAUUCCAAGUGUAGCGGUGAAAUGCGUAGAUAUUUGGAGGAACACCAGUGGCGAAGGCGACUUUCUGGUCUGUAACUGACACUGAGGCGCGAAAGCGUGGGGAGCAAACAGGAUUAGAUACCCGUGGUAGUCCACGCCGUAAACGAUGAGUGCUAAGUGUUAGAGGGUUUCCGCCCUUUAGUGCUGCAGCUAACGC